rnacentral:rRNA from 1 species
GACGGAGGAUGCAAGCGUUAUCCGGAAUCACUGGGCGUAAAGCGUCUGUAGGUGGUUUAAAAAGUCCACUGUUAAAGAUUGAAGCUUAACUUCAAAAAUGCCGUGGAAACUUUUAAACUUGAGUAUGAUAGGGGUAGAGGGAAUUUCCAGUGGAGCGGUGAAAUGCGUAGAUAUUGGAAAGACCACCAAUGGCGAAGGCACUCUACUGGGCCAUUACUGACACUGAGAGACGAAAGCUAGGGGAGCAAAUGGG